rnacentral:rRNA from 1 species
UGGGGAAUAUUGGACAAUGGGCGAAAGCCUGAUCCAGCAAUGCCGCGUGAGUGAUGAAGGCCUUAGGGUUGUAAAGCUCUUUUACCCGGGAUGAUAAUGACAGUACCGGGAGAAUAAGCUCCGGCUAACUCCGUGCCAGCAGCCGCGGUAAUACGGAGGGAGCUAGCGUUGUUCGGAAAUACUGGGCGUAAAGCGCACGUAGGCGGCUUUCCAAGUCAGGGGUGAAAUCCCGGAGCUCAACUCCGGAACUGCCCUUGAAACUGGAUCGCUAGAAUCCUGGAGAGGCGAGUGGAAUUCCGAGUGUAGAGGUGAAAUUCGUAGAUAUUCGGAAGAACACCAGUGGCGAAGGCGACUCGCUGGACAAGUAUUGACGCUGAGGUGCGAAAGCGUGGGGAGCAA